rnacentral:rRNA from 2 species
AGACCCGAAACCCGGUGAUCUAGCCAUGGGCAGGUUGAAGGUUGGGUAACACUAACUGGAGGACCGAACCGACUAAUGUUGAAAAAUUAGCGGAUGACUUGUGGCUGGGGGUGAAAGGCCAAUCAAACCGGGAGAUAGCUGGUUCUCCCCGAAAGCUAUUUAGGUAGCGCCUCGUGAAUUCAUCUCCGGGGGUAGAGCACUGUUUCGGCAAGGGGGUCAUCCCGACUUACCAACCCGAUGCAAACUGCGAAUACCGGAGAAUGUUAUCACGGGAGACACACGGCGGGUGCUAACGUCCGUCGUGAAGAGGGAAACAACCCAGACCGCCAGCUAAGGUCCCAAAGUCAUGGUUAAGUGGGAAACGAUGUGGGAAGGCCCAGACAGCCAGGAUGUUGGCUUAGAAGCAGCCAUCAUUUAAAGAAAGCGUAAUAGCUCACUGGUCGAGUCGGCCUGCGCGGAAGAUGUAACGGGGCUAAACCAUGCACCGAAGCUGCGGCAGCGACACUGUGUGUUGUUGGGUAGGGGAGCGUUCUGUAAGCCUGUGAAGGUGUGCUGUGAGGCAUGCUGGAGGUA